GGAGAGGAAGGUACGAAGGCAACAACGACAACAGUCUAAAUGCGAUCGAUCUGAUGAGACAAAGGCAACGAGACGAUCAUGUUGCCUAUAGCGACGGUAUGCUUUUUAGACCGACGGUAGCGUUUCCAUAUUAUCGAUCGAGCUGUUUCCUCUUUUUUUUUGAAAAAUACCGAUCAAGCACAUGUGUUUGAUGGUCUCGUCUCGGGCCCAAUCCCAGCUUCCGAUCGACUUAGUCCUAAUUCCAGUGAGUAUGAUAUUUUUUUGAGAAAUACUACUAGUUCUAUAUACUAAAUUUGGGGCCCUUAAAAUUAUGGGCCCUGUGCAAGUGGCACAUUUGGCACCAUGGUUGGCCCGGCC
rnacentral:lncRNA from 1 species